CUUGCUUUCUUUGCUGGCGACCGGCGCACGGGUGAGUAACACGUAUCCAACCUGCCCUUUACUCGGGGAUAGCCUUUCGAAAGAAAGAUUAAUACCCGAUAGCAUAAUGAUUCCGCAUGGUUUCAUUAUUAAAGGAUUCCGGUAAAGGAUGGGGAUGCGUUCCAUUAGGUUGUUGGUGGGGUAACGGCCCACCAAGCCUUCGAUGGAUAGGGGUUUUGAGAGGAAGGUCCCCCACAUUGGAACUGAGACACGGUCCAA
rnacentral:rRNA from 1 species